GAAAUUUUAGGACCUUCCCCAGAAAAACUUGACAGUUGCCCAAUAUGCAUCCCGAUUCAUCUAGUUGUCUAAGUUUGCCCCAUUAAUGGCCACCCCUGAGAGUCGGAAAGUUAAGAAGUUUCUAAAGAGCCUUCGUGCUGAUAUCUACGACUGGGUUGCGAUGCUGAAACUCUGCUCGUAUACCAAGGUGCUAGAACAUACCAAGUUGGGUGAAGACCUUAUCUCAGCCAGACACCAAAGUAUAGCCCAAGUCCGUAUCCAACAACAACAACACCAAUCCCAAUAACUCA
rnacentral:lncRNA from 1 species